GAUGAACGCUGGCGGCGUGCCUAAUACAUGCAAGUCGAGCGAACAGACGAGGAGCUUGCUCCUCUGACGUUAGCGGCGGACGGGAGAGUAACAUGUGGAUAACCUACCUAUAAGACUGGGAUAACAACGGGAAACCGGAUCUAAUACCGGAUAAUAUAUUGCACCGCAUGGUUCAAUAGUGAAAUACGGUUUUUGUGUCAGUUAUAGCUGGAUCCGGGCCGCAUGAGCUAGUUGUUAAGGUAACGGCUUAACAAGGCAACGAUGCGUAGACGACCUGAGCGGGUGAUCGGCCACCUGGGAAGUGAGACACGGUCCAGACUCCUACGGGAGGCAGCAGUAGGGAAUCUUACGCAAUGGGCGAGAGCCUAACGGAGCAACGCCGCGUGAGUGAUGAAGGUCUUCGGAUCGGAAAGCUCUGUUAUUAGUGAAGAACAAAUGUGUAAGUAACUAUGCACGUCUUGACGGUACCUAAUCAGAAAGCCACGGCUAACUACGUG
rnacentral:rRNA from 1 species